AAUCCGCUGAUUCCACAAAGUUCCUGCCCCAUCCCUCCCCUUCUCAGGCAUGGAAUAGGUCCCUACCUGGGAUCCUCCUUUACUGCCAUGCCUUCUCUGCAUCUUCUUGAUCAUCCCACUCCUAAGUGCUGUCAGUUCUCACAUCCUCCUGUCUGGCCACCAUGACCUUUCCAGUGGGAUCCACAACUCUUCCUUACUGGACUCCACACUCAGCCAGCUUCCCCCUUCAGACUCACUAUCUCCUCAGAUGCCUCCCCUGUCAGAUUUCCAAUUCUUCAGACAAACUCCUAGUCACACCCACUAUGCCCUCGGAGUGUCAGACUGGCGACUUCCUCCGACGCCCUUCAGAUUCGCGAUCCUCUCAGAUGCCCCAUCCAUCGGACUGGCCUUCUCCUCAGAUACUACCCCUCUCAGUCCUGAUCCCCUCAAGACUGAUCCUCCUCCAACCAGAUGCCCUCGCCCCGAGCCUCCUCCAUCGCACCACAUAGCCACAACCGGAGCGCGCGCCGCGCCUCUACCUGCAGCCGUCGGGCCGCACUGAUCUUCGUCUGCUGGACGAAGGGGUUGGGAACCGGCGGAGGGAAGAAGGACGCCUGACGAGGUACCAUGGGCGGCCGCAGCCCGGCGUCCCCGACGCCCGAACCCGGCACCGUAGCCGCCACAGCGGCCGCCUCGGCGCAUCGAUUCAUGACGGAUCCCGGUGCCCGACCCGAGCAAAGCGGGGGACCCGAAGUGAGCCGCAGAAUUCACGCUGCAGAACAGCCCCAAUCCGAGGACCAGAGACUCCCAGCCCCAGGCGCCGCUCCCGGCUUCUGCGCAGGCGCCAGAGUCACCUAGCCACUAGCUGCCCCGCCCCCCGGGACGCACCCCGGGCUCUGGCCCCGCCCCCUAGGAACCUGCUUUUGGAACACACCUCUUGGAGCCCAGUCUAGUAGUCAUCUGGGAAGAAAAGAUAAAGUUGGAUUUCUGCCUCACAACAUCUAAAUCAAUUCUAGAUAAAUAGGCAUCUCCAUAUGAAGAACCAAGCAUACAAGAACCAAAGCAAGAGGAACUUUAAAAUAAUCUGAGAUGUGGCAAGAGAUUUCAAAUUGCGACUGAAGCACCAGGAGUCCUAAAAAGAAAACAUUGAUCAGUUUGUCCACAAAUAAAUCUUUACGAGGCUGUGUGACAAACAUUAAAAGUCAACUAACUCAUCAUGGGAAAUGUUUGCAACGCAUAGCCUACAGAGAUCACUCAACACCGAACACAAUGGAAACACUGUGCAAGAAUCUGCUUCUGUGCUGUUUGAGAGAAAACGGCAAGAGAGAAAGUCUGCAUGUGCUGAUGCUUAAGAUGAAAGAGAUACUUGGAUGCCUGCAUUGUCCUGACUCUCUUGCAGCUAGAUAUGGCUGGAUCCAGAUGUAAAGACUGACAUGCUGGUACUCAUCUGGAACAGUGCAGUGACAGUGCAGAGCAAUGGCAGAAGGUGUGAGUCUCAGAUUACCCACAUGGCCCUCUGAGAUGGGGAGACAAAAACCUACGCUGCAGUUCCCUGAAGCUCACCCUGUUCUCAAACCUAACCUCAAUUCAGUCUCUCUAGCUUGUGAGCAAAACACGGCAACCCACAUUCUGAGUCAGACAUUCUUAUAAUGGGGAAAUGUCUUCCAUUGACCCAGCAAUUUCCCAGCACCAACACUGACAGAGAGAAAAGCCUGCUCUAAUGUCCUCUAAGUCCUUGUACUUUUUGGAUACUUCUGCUUUUAGUUGUCUUAGUUUCCUUUUCUGCUGAUGUGAAAAAACACCCUGGCAAAAGCAACUGGAGGGAGAAAAGGUUUAUGUGGCUCAUGGGCUACAGUUCUCUACCUGAGAGGAAUCCAAGGCAGCAAAGAAGCCAAAGUAGUUGGUCCUAUCGCAUACAUAAUCAGGAGCAGAAAACUAUGAGCCAAUGCAGGUAUUCAUGUCCUCAGCUUGCUCUUGCCUUUCCAGUCAGCUCAAGGCCUAGCCCAUGAAAUUCUACCACCCACGUCCAGUGUAUCUUCCCCCCUCAACUAAUCCAGUUAAUCCCUGACAGGCACCUAAUUGGCUGAGACACCUCAACAGGACAGCCUAACUGAGAUUCCUUACCAGGUGAUUCUAGAUUGUGUCAAACUGAGAAGUAAGGAAACUAACCAUCAUUUAUGAUCUGGGGGGUCUUAACCAGAAGCUUCCAUUUCUGAGGAAGCUUGAAUAUUUCCAGACAUGAUCCCUCAUCCAUCUUCUUCCACAGGCUUCUUCCUUGCUGUUAAAGCGCUUCCCUGCUAACAUCACUGUUGUCACAUGCCCCAUUGUUCUGCCUUCUCCAGGUCCUCACCCACAUCUUAGCUCAGGCCUUAAACUUUUCCCUCUUGUGGUUCAUUUUCGCCGAAAAAAUGUCUACA